AUAGGGGCUGACGCCUGCCCGGUGCUGGAAGGUUAAGAGGAGCGCUUAGCGUAAGCGAAGGUGCGAAUUGAAGCCACUGUUUAGCAAAAACACAGGGCUCUGCUAAGUCGGCUUCAAGACGACGUAUAGGGCCUGACGCCUGCCCGGUGCCUGAAGGUUAAGAGGAGGAGUGCAAGCUCUGAAUUGAAGCCCAGGUAAACGGCGGCCGUAACUAUAACGGUCCUAAGGUAGCGAAAUUCCUUGUCGGGUAAGUUCCGACCCGCACGAAAGGCGCAACGAUCUGGGCACUGUCUCAACGAGAGACUCGGUGAAAUUAUAGUACCUGUGAAGAUGCAGGUUACCCGCGACAGGACGGAAAGACCCCGUGGAGCUUUACUGCAGCCUGAUAUUGAAUGUUGGUACAGCUUGUACAGGAUAGGUAGGAGCCUUGGAAACCGGAGCGCUAGCUUCGGUGGAGGCAUCGGUGGGAUACUACCCUGGCUGUAUUGACCUUCUAACCCGCUGCCCUUAUCGGGCAGGGAGACAGUGGCAGGUGGGCAGUUUGACUGGGGCGGUCGCCUCCUAAAAUGUAACGGAGGCGCCCAAAGGUUCCCUCAGAAUGGUUGGAAAUCAUUCGCAGAGUGUAAAGGCACAAGGGAGCUUGACUGCGAGACCUACAAGUCGCGCAGGGACGAAAGUCGGGCUUAGUGAUCCGGUGGUUCCGCAUGGAAGGGCCAUCGCUCAACGGAUAAAAGCUACCCCGGGGAUAACAGGCUUAUCUCCCCCAAGAGUCCACAUCGACGGGGAGGUUUGGCACCUCGAUGUCGGCUCAUCGCAUCCUGGGGCUGUAGUCGGUCCCAAGGGUUGGGAUGUUCGCCCAUUAAAGCGGUAC
rnacentral:ncRNA from 1 species